UACGUAGGGCGCAAGCGUUAUCCGGAAUUAUUUGGGCGUAAAGAGCUCGUAGGCGGUUUGUCGCGUCUGCUGUGAAAAGACCCGGGGCUCAACUCCGGUUCUGCAGUGGGGUACGGGGCAGAACUAGAGUGCAGUAGGGGGAGACUGGAAAUUCCUGGUGUAGCGGUGAAAUGCGCAGGAUAAUCAGGAGGAACACCGAUGGCGAAGGGCAGGGAUCUCCUGGGCUGAUAACUGACGCUGAGGAGCGAAAGCAUGGGGAGCGAACAGG
rnacentral:rRNA from 1 species